rnacentral:rRNA from 1 species
GCCCCGCAAGGGGAGCGGCAGACGGGUGAGUAACGCGUGGGAAUCUACCGAGUGGUGCGGAAUAGCCCAGGGAAACUUGGAGUAAUACCGCAUAAGCCCGAAAGGGGAAAGAUUUAUCGCCACUUGAUGAGCCCGCGUUGGAUUAGCUAGUUGGUGAGGUAAUGGCUCACCAAGGCGACGAUCCAUAGCUGGUCUGAGAGGAUGAUCAGCCACACUGGGACUGAGACACGGCCCAGACUCCUACGGGAGGCAGCAGUGGGGAAUAUUGGACAAUGGGCGCAAGCCUGAUCCAGCCAUGCCGCGUGAGUGACGAAGGUCUUCGGAUUGUAAAGCUCUUUUGGCGGGGACGAUAAUGACGGUACCCGCAGAAUAAGCCCCGGCUAACUUCGUGCCAGCAGCCGCGGUAAUACGAAGGGGGCUAGCGUUGUUCGGAAUUACUGGGCGUAAAGCGCACGUAGGCGGACUCUUAAGUCAGGGGUGAAAUCCCGGGGCUCAACCUCGGAACUGCCCUUGAUACUGUGAGUCUCGAGACCGGAAGAGGUGAGUGGAAUUCCUAGUGUAGAGGUGAAAUUCGUAGAUAUUAGGAAGAACACCAGUGGCGAAGGCGGCUCACUGGUCCGGUUCUGACGCUGAGGUGCGAAAGCGUGGGGGGCAAACAGGAUUAGAUACCCUGGUAGUCCACGCCGUAAACGAUGGAUGC